rnacentral:lncRNA from 1 species
GACACCAAAAGCUCUCCUCCAAUUCUCAAAAUUGAGGCCGAAAUGGCGAAUUCUCCUCCACCCGAGUUGAAACCACGCCGUCAGAUCCACGAUCGACGGCAUUGAUCUUCCGCUUCUUCGCGCCACGAUCCUCGGCCGAAUCCGGCUCGGAGGUGGAACGAGAAUCCAGCUCUGAUUCGGAGGCCGACUCCGGCUCCGACAAUGAAGAUGAAUGCGCGGCGGCGUCCUUCUUCUUCUCCCGCUGCUGAAGGUUCUGAUCGAUUUUGGGGGUCUCGUUGGAGUGAGGCAAGCGGGUGAGGGAAAUGGGGAAGAAGGGUGAAUUAGGUUGGGAAGAUGAUGAUUUGGAUUUUUUUUUGGUUUUUUUAUUAUUUUUUUUGCCACAUGUCACAAAUGUGCCACCAUGUCAAUUCCGGCUGCCACCGUGUUAUUUUCGACGCCGACGUAAGAAAAAAUCGGUCACCGAAUAAAUUUGAGACAAAAACGAAAGGUUAUGGAUUUAAAAGUAGAAAAAUAAAAUUAGGUUAAAAAACCAAUUCCGUGUAAAC